rnacentral:lncRNA from 1 species
CGGGCCCCUUGGAGUGCCCCGGGAGGUGGUGCUGGGCGUCUGAACACCACAUCCCUUCCUGCGCCCGUGUGUGGGUUGGGAAUGCCGGGUGUAGGCCCUGGAUCAGAGCUGACGGGGUUGCGAGCGGCGUGGGGUGUGCCUGGGACGGUGACCGGAUGUGUCUUCCUGAAUCGUUGUAUUCGAGCUCCAGUUCUCUCUGUUUCUACAGCUGGGCCUCAGUCCUCACAGGGCUCUAGUGGGCGUUCAGCCACACCAGGAGAAGGCGCCCAGGGGAUUAACAGGACCCUUCCCUCUCCUGCUCUUCCCUCGCCCCCCAUGGCUCCCCCUCCCUCCUAUUUAGUAGGUACUUCUCCAGCACCCCACAGCGAUGAUGGAUGCUGGCCCUAAAGCCAGGCACUGCCGCCCUGCACUGUAGCAGAUGCCUAAAUAAAGUGUGGAGCCUGAAGCAGAAGUUUUGGGAGAUGCUUGCCUUCCUUUAGACCACAUUCCUCGCCUUUCUCAAGAUUUCUCCGUGGUACCCACCCCGUUUUUGUGUUGUCUUCCUUCCUUGCCCUUGUUUCAUUCCUUUUGAAAGCGACCACUCCCCUGAAGUCCUAGGACCCCCUUCGUGGGCUCUCCCUGCCGUAGACAGUCUCUGCUUGCCCCUGACCCAACAUGAGUGAAGUUUCCUGCAAGAAACGGGACGACUAUUUGGAAUGGCCAGAGUAUUUUAUGGCUGUGGCCUUCUUAUCAGCACAGAGAAGCAAAGAUCCAAAUUCCCAGGUCGGCGCCUGCAUCGUGAAUUCAGAAAACAAGAUUGUCGGGAUUGGGUACAAUGGGAUGCCAAAUGGGUGCAGUGAUGACGUGUUGCCUUGGAGAAGGACAGCAGAGAAUAAGCUGGACACCAAAUACCCGUACGUGUGCCAUGCGGAGCUGAAUGCCAUCAUGAACAAAAAUUCGACCGAUGUGAA